UUGCUCUGUUUCACUUUCAAGGACACAGCUGGGUGUGGUGGCAGAGGCCUGUAAUGCCAGCAUUCUGGAGGCUGAGGCAGGAGGAU
rnacentral:miRNA from 1 species